rnacentral:rRNA from 1 species
UACGGAGGGUGCAAGCGUUAUCCGGAUUCACUGGGUUUAAAGGGUGCGUAGGUGGGCAGGUAAGUCAGUGGUGAAAUCUCCGGGCUUAACCCGGAAACUGCCAUUGAUACUAUCUGUCUUGAAUACCGUGGAGGUGAGCGGAAUAUGUCAUGUAGCGGUGAAAUGCUUAGAUAUGACAUAGAACACCAAUUGCGAAGGCAGCUCACUACGCGAAUAUUGACACUGAGGCACGAAAGCGUGGGGAGCGAACGGG